rnacentral:rRNA from 1 species
AUUCAACGGCCGCGGAAUCAUAACCGUGCGAAGGUAGCGUAAUCACCUGUUUCUUAAAUAGAGACCAGUAUGAACGGCUCAUUGAGAGUUCAACUGUCUCCUGUAGCCAAUCAAUGAAACUGAUCUUUCAGUACAAAAGCUGAAAUAAACCCACAAGACGAGAAGACCCCGUGGAGCUUAAAACCUACCACUACACUAUAACCAACCAUCACGGCACAAACCCAUACAACCAUAGUAUAAGUUUUAAGUUGGGGCGACUUAGGAGAAAUAAACAACCUCCUUGAACAUGGGGUUAAAUUCCCCUCCAUAAGAUAUACAAAUCAAAUGACUACACUAUACCGACCCAGUACUACUGACCACCGAACCAAGUUACCCCGGGGAUAACAGCGCCAUCCCCCUCAAGAGCCCAUAUCGCCAGGGGGGCUUACGACCUCGAUGUUGGAUCAGGACACCCCAGUGGUGAAGCCGCUACUAAAGGUUCGUUUGUUCAACGAUUAAUGUCCUA